rnacentral:rRNA from 1 species
AUUGAACGCUGGCGGCAUGCCUUACACAUGCAAGUCGAACGGUAACAGGUCUUCGGAUGCUGACGAGUGGCGAACGGGUGAGUAAUACAUCGGAACGUGCCUAGUAGUGGGGGAUAACUACUCAAAAGAGUGGCUAAUACCGCAUGAGAUCUACGGAUGAAAGCAGGGGAUCGCAAGACCUUGUGCUUCUAGAGCGGCCGAUGGCAGAUUAGGUAGUUGGUGGGAUAAAAGCUUACCAAGCCGACGAUCUGUAGCUGGUCUGAGAGGACGAUCAGCCACACUGGGACUGGGACACGGCCCAGACUCCUACGGGAGGCAGCAGUGGGGAAUUUUGGACAAUGGGCGCAAGCCUGAUCCAGCAAUGCCGCGUGCAGGAUGAAGGCCUUCGGGUUGUAAACUGCUUUUGUACGGAACGAAAAGCCCUGGGUUAAUACCCUGGGGUCAUGACGGUACCGUAAGAAUAAGCACCGGCUCACUACGUGCCAGCCGCCGCCAUAACAC